rnacentral:rRNA from 1 species
AUGGCCGCGGUAUUUUGACCGUGCAAAGGUAGCAUAAUCAUUAGUUUUUUAAUUGAAAGCUGGAAUGAAUGGUUGGACAAGAAAAUUUCUGUCUCUGUUUAAUUUUUUAGAAUUUUAUUUUUUAGUUAGAAAGCUUAAAUUUUUUUAAGGGACGAGAAGACCCUAUAGAAUUUUACUUGUAACAGAAUUUUUAAUGUUUAGAUUUAUUUUUUUGGAAUUUAUUUUAUAUGUUUUGUUGGGGUGAUAGAAAAAUUUAAAUAACUUUUUUUUGUUUUAAUCAUUGAUUGAUGAAUAAUUGAUCCAUUUAUUGUGAUUAUAAGAUUAAAUUACCUUAGGGAUAACAGC